CAAAAUGAAUGAAAGGUCAAAUACUGAAAUGGAAGAUUGAAAAGAAGAUUAAAGAGAUUAUAGUAUAGUGCCGAAAAAUAUUAUAUUGUCCUGCACUGGACUAUAUUACUGUUCUACACUGGACAACUACAACCAAAGCAAAAGAGUUUUCUUACCAAUCCAGAUUCAUCGCUGGAAUGUCUUAUUGUAGAUAUCGCCUCCCUGCACUCCUCACCAAAUAGCUGUUGGCAGGUUGAUAGAGAUUCUCGCCUGGUUUUUGGACCAUCCUGAAGAACGGUCUUGGAACGACCCCGCAAGCCAGCAAAGAACACCCUCAACCAUCUGCCAAGAAAUAUUACAUUGUUAUGGCAUGCUUACGAAUAACGGUGGAAUCAGAUGAAUGGGAUAAAGCUGGGGAUAGUGCAGUCUGUGCCACUACCAAGGAUGAAUGGGAUGAAGUUGGGGACAGCGAUGUCAAUACAGAGGAGGAUGCUUGAUCUGCAACCAGCUCAACAUCCAGAUCUACAAAAUGGCAGACAGAACAAAGACAAUUUAAAUGUACCUAUCAGUAACAAAACAAUCUCAAUCUUAA
ensembl:lncRNA